rnacentral:tRNA from 1 species
GUCCCCUUCGUCUAGAGGCCUAGGACAUCGCCCUUUCACGGCGGUAACAGGGGUUCGAAUCCCCUAGGGGAC